GUGCUAGAGUGCAAGGUCCGUAAAAAAAAAUCUAGAGUGGAGACUACACUGCAACCAAGUUGGUCGGUUGGUUGAUAAGUUGGUGCGUGUGUAUAGGGGCAUAAAAGUUUGUAAUCCAUUCCAGAAAGUUGAUAUAAUUGCCAGGUUCUGAAUGCAGUAUUUUCCGUAGGAUAGUCUUCAGCAUGGAUCAGCAGACACAAUUUUAGAGACUGCAAUGAGAUGAAAAUAUCAGCUUGGAUGCAGCUACAGAGGUUCCAUCAAUGAAGCCUUAGAAGAGUGCCAACACCCUCGGAAGAAGUAUUAAGACAACAAUUUUACAGGCUGCUUUACUUCACGGAGCUGUGCCAAAUCUGCCUUCCGUGCAUGGCAUCACUCCAGCCCUUUCUCGAAGGUUCCACAUGCUGCCAUUACAUCUCUACAAGAAGAAAACUGUGCCAGCCUCAACAGCCAGUGAUUUCAACUACUGAUAAUGGUGGCAGACAGCUAUAAAAAGCCCAAAUGUUUAUUUGAAGUGAUGUGGGUUGUAAACCAAGCAGAUGUUAUUAAAGUUCUGUUUUAUUUGAGUUCCCCUAGGGUUCAGAUGCUGUCAACCUGCAGUGGGUCAUUUGUACAUACUGUGAAGAGAACACAUUACAGACAGUUAAAUAUGACGAACUCCUAUUUAAACAACUUGUAGUGUCAAUGAGGAAUAAUCAAUAUUAGGUGAAGGGGACUGAUUACCUGGAAGGUGCCCACAGUGGCAAUAAGAUUCUAGUCAUAUCGAAGUAAGAUACAUAAAGAAAGUCUAUUGAUGUUGCAAAACAUCAACACAAGAUGUACAAAAAGAAUAAAAUUCAGUCAGACUAAACCAGAACCGUCCUGGCGAUCAGUGCUAUGACCAAAGUCUACUAAUUAAAAAAAUAAA